UGGGGAAUAUUGGACAAUGGGCGCAAGCCUGAUCCAGCCAUGCCGCGUGUGUGAAGAAGGCCUUCGGGUUGUAAAGCACUUUAAGCGAGGAGGAAAGUUUAUAGGUUAAUACCCUAUAGAAUUGACGUUACUCGCAGAAUAAGCACCGGCUAACUCUGUGCCAGCAGCCGCGGUAAUACAGAGGGUGCAAGCGUUAAUCGGAAUUACUGGGCGUAAAGCGCGCGUAGGCGGUUUGUUAAGUCGGAUGUGA
rnacentral:rRNA from 1 species